UUUUAUUUGAGAGUUUGAUCCUGGCUCAGGAUGAACGCUGGCGGCGUGCCUAACACAUGCAAGUUGAGCGAUUUACUUCGGUAAAGGGCGGCGGACGGGUGAGUAACGCGUGGGUAACCUACCCUGUACACACGGAUAACAUACCGAAAGGUAUGCUAAUACGGGAUAAUAUAUUUG
rnacentral:rRNA from 1 species